ensembl:processed_transcript
AUUGGGAACCUGGGCUUGCUCAUAGUGAGCAACAAGUUCUGUAGGGAGCAACGUGGCUUAAACAGCAGGAUCUACACAGAGUCCUGCCCAAGGUUUCUCCUGGCCCUUUCUUCUCCUCUGAUGGCUCCAUCUCUUUAUUCCCUCAGGAACGGACACCAUGGCCUCCAUAGGUCAGACCCGCAACUUCCUGAGCCGGGCCUCUUGCCGCCUUCGUUUGGAGCCUAACAAAGAGUACUUGAUCAUGGGGAUGGACGGGGAAACCAGUGACAACAAGGGAGACCCCCAGUACUUGCUGGACUCAAAUACCUGGAUUGAGGAGAUGCCUUCGGAACAAAUGUGCAAGAGCACCCGCCAUCGGGCAUGCCAGGUGUGAGGCCUUAGGACUCUGGCUCUCUGAGCUCAGCUCAGGGUUAGGGCCUCACUGGAUUAGAGGCUCUGCUCUACAGGGUAAAUAAAAGAAAAGCUUUUUGACAGCCAA